CUCCCUCUGGUCACAUUGUCACACUCACAUGGUUGGUCUCUCGCUUCAACCAUAUCCUGCCCGGUUUAAUGCUAUAGGCUCCCUGACGGAGCUCAGGUCGGAAGAUUUAAUACUUUAGCUAUUCAAUCAUUAAGGUGUUUUAUACAUCUAGCCUCGGCCUUUUCACUCCCUCGUAAAAAAUAAUAUUUGUCUUUCCAACUGUACUGUGAACCACAAAGUCCUUAUAUUUUAUUUUCAUCUGUGCUGUAAAACCUUGUUCUUGCCCUCAGACCCACCCAGCUAUGGGCAAUUACCUUGUUCUGUAACUGUACUGUGGUGUGUGAUCAUGUAUGUAUAUGCGUGCCUGAAGAUGUAUGAGCUGAUCUGUGGGGAAGCCACACUCUGGGCAGGAGGUCAAGGCUACUUGAGAUUGCGAGAGUGUGUAAUAUGUGCUUUAACUUCCUCGGCCUGGCACACACACUCACACACUCACCAGCCCACAUUUGCAGCCAUGUUUUUCCAGGCCUGACAUGCUACUGCUUCUGUUGUGGUAACGAAAAGACAAGCUGUAAAUGAAGUGUGAGAAGAAGUUGGAAUGAACAAGUGUAGAAUAAGAGGUGGAAAGAGAUCAAUUCAAAGAGAGAACACACCUGGAUCUAUGACUUGGGUUUCAGAACUGAAGAACAUCUCAUACCUGGCACUUCGACAGUCUUCCCCUCAGUUUUAUCUGUAGAAACUCCACAGCGACUGUCCAGACGUUAAACAUCACUGUGUGCUUGAGUGCUGUGUCAAGUCAGCUAAUAUUAUUGCUGCCUCAUUUGCUAAUGAAAGCGCUAACUUGUGAGAUGAGCUGAGUGAUCCUGUUAGCAUUGUGAAGAGGCAUCUUCAGGGCUGUCAUUUUUCUCUUCUACUGCAGGCUCGUUAGAGGACAACGAUCUGCUCAUUAGGAGUGUAAGUAGCGGGCGUGAAUAUGAGGAACUCAGGCUGCCCAGAGCUGUUUGUAAUAGCAGACUGGCAAACUACUCAAACUUAUAUUUUGGCAAAUUCUCUGUAUGGUUGGAAUACCUGUAUUACUUGCUACUACAUAUGCAAAAAUGUGCAGUACGAAUCAAAGCAUACUAAGAGGAAUAUUACACAAAAUAACGCAACACACUCAACCUUCCAUUUCCAAUGUGAUAAAUGACCCA
ensembl:lncRNA